rnacentral:rRNA from 1 species
AUUGAACGCUGGCGGCAGGCCUAACACAUACAAGUCGAGCGGAUGACGGGAGCUUGCUCCUUGAUUCAGCGGCGGACGGGUGAGUAAUGCCUAGGAAUCUGCCUGGUAGUGGGGGACAACGUUUCGAAAGGAACGCUAAUACCGCAUACGUCCUACGGGAGAAAGCAGGGGACCUUCGGGCCUUGCGCUAUCAGAUGAGCCUAGGUCGGAUUAGCUAGUAGGUGAGGUAAUGGCUCACCUAGGCGACGAUCCGUAACUGGUCUGAGAGGAUGAUCAGUCACACUGGAACUGAGACACGGUCCAGACUCCUACGGGAGGCAGCAGUGGGGAAUAUUGGACAAUGGGGGCAACCCUGAUCCAGCAAUACCGCGUGUGUGAAGAAGGCCUUUGGGUUGUAAAGCACUUUAGGCGGGGAAGAAGAUAAUUUGUUUAAGAGAUGAGUUAUUUGACGGUACCCGCAGAAUAAGCACCGGCUAACUCUGUGCCAGCCGCCGCGGUAAUAC